GACGAACGCUGGCGGCGUGCUUAACACAUGCAAGUCGAACGGACAGGCCCUGCGCUUGUGGGGUGCUCGAGUGGCGAACGGGUGAGUAACACGUGAGUAACCUGCCCCUGACUUAGGGAUAACAUCAGGAAACUGGGGCUAAUACCGGAUAGGAGCUCCUGCUGCAUGGUGGGGGUUGGAAAGUUUCGGCGGUUGGGGCUGGACUAGCGGCUUAUCAGCUUGUUGGUGGAGUAGUGGCUUACCAAGGGUUUGACGGGUAGCCGGCCUGAGAGGGUGACCGGCGACAUUGGGCCUGCGAUACGGCGCAGAAGGCUACGGGCGGCAGCAGUGGAGAGUAUUGCAGAAUGGGCGGAAGCCUGAUGCAGCAACGCCGCGUGCGGGAUGACGGCCUACUGGUUGUAAACCGCUUUCGACUGUGACGAAGCGUGAGUGACGGUAAUGAGUAAAGAAGCACCGGCUAACUACGUG
rnacentral:rRNA from 1 species